UUCUUGGCCGAAACAUACACUACUUCAGUCACUCACUCCACUCUAGGAGGAGUUAAAAUAAUUCAAUCGCUGACUUUCGCGAUAAAUCACGCCUCUCGCGUCUUGCCUUCCUAAGGUUUGUCAAGCUUAAAAUUUUUUAGGUCCCAACGACCUAAUACUAAGCUCUGAUACCAACUUAAUCGGUCACGCCCCGAAUUACACGUUCCCCCGGCACGCCAACAAACCCACCGUAUAUAUAGGAAUUUUUUCUGUAUACGAAGCGAU
rnacentral:lncRNA from 1 species